UCUAUUCCUAAUUUUCUUUUUUCUUUAGUGUUUUAAUUCAAUUUUUUUCCAAUUUUUUUGUUUUUUUUCUAUGUUUGUCUCUCAAUUUGUUGUUAUUUUCUUUCUUUUACUGUUUUUCUUUUUUUUUUAAUAUUUUAUAUGUUUUUUAUUUUGUUUUUUUAUAUAUUGUUUAUAUCUCUCUUUUUUAUAUUUAUUUUUUCGUUUCUCUUUUAUCGUCCUUUUUUUGUAUUUUUAUUUAUGUAUUUAUUUUGUUUUAUUUUAUUUUCUUUUUUUAACUACAUUGUUUUUAUUUUUUUUUUCUGAUUUUUAACUGAAAUUUAUCUUCUCUUUUUUUUCCUUUUUUUUCCUUUUACCCUGUUUUUCUUUUCUGGAUUUUUUGUUUUUUUGUUUUUUUCUUAUUUUAUCUAUUUUAUCUAUUUUUUUAUUUUUUCUAUUUAUAUAUAAAUAUUUUGUUUUUUGGUUAUUUUUCUUUUUUCUAAUUUUAUCUACAUUUGUUUACGUUCAUUUUCAUUUUCAUUUCUUUUUUUUCAUGUUUUUUUUAACUUUUUCCUAUUUUUUGUUUUUUCAUGUUUUAUAUUUUGCUUCUCUUUUUUUUUAUCUACAUUUUUUUUUUGUAAUUUUUUAACUAUUUUUAUUUUUUUUCUAUUUGUAUGGUUAUCUUCUUUUUUCUUCCUCUAUUUUAUUCUUUUCUUCCUUUUUUUAUUUUUUAUUUUCUUAUUUUUCUUAUUUUUUUCGAUUUCUUCUUAUUUUAUCUACUUUUCUUUUUCUUUUUUUUUUGUUUUUAUAUAAAUAUUUUGUUAUCUUUUAUUAUUGGCAUCUAUAUUUUUCUCUUUUAUUUUCAUUUUUUUAUCAUGUUUUUAUUUCUUUCCUACUGGUCUGUUUCUUUCAUUUUAAAAUUUUUGUCUUACUCUUUUUUUUUAUUUUAUCUUCUUUUUUUCUGUAUUUUUAAUUUGUUUAUUUAUUUAGUUAUUUAUAUUUAUUUAUUCUUUUUCUUUAUUUUUAUACUUUUGUUUUCACGUUUUUUUUUAAUUUUUCUAGUUUUUUUCUUUUACUGUUUUUUCCUCUUUUUUCCUUUUUGUUUUAAAUUUUUCAUCUGUUUUGUUUUCUGAUUUUUUCCUUUUUUCUUUUUUUAUCUUAAUUGUUUUUCAUUUUUUCUGUUUUAUCUCUUUUUUGUUUUUUAUUUUUUGUUUUUAUAUAUAAAUUGUUGUUUCUUUUUUUUUUUCUUUUCUUUUAUCUAGAUUUUUUCCUUUCAUUUUUUUAUUUUUGUGUGUUUUUAAUUUUUUUCUAUUUUGUUUUUUAAGUUUUAUAAAUGUGUGUUAUCUCUUUCUUUUUCUGUUUUUUUUUAAUUUUUUUUUUAUAUAUUUUGUAUCUUCUCUCUUUUUUGUAUUUUUAUGUAUUUAGGUAUUUUGAUUUUCUUUUGGUUGUUUUUCUCUUUUUAUCUAUAAUUUUUUUCUUUUUUUUGCCUUUUUGUUUUGAAUUUUUUCCUCUUUGUUAUCUAUUUUUUCUGUUUUUCCUUUAUUCCUUUUUUUUUUUUUUCUUUUUUUUCAGUUUUUUUCUAUUGUUUCUACUUUUUCUGUUUUUCUGUUUUUUCUAUUUAUAUAUAAAUAUUUUGUUAUCUUUUUUUCUUUUAUCCUUUUUUCUACAUUUUUGUCGUUUCAUUUUUAUUUAUUUUUAUUUUUUUUCUAUUUUCUGUUUUUUUCAUGUUUUAAAUUUUUGAACUGGUUUUUUUUUUUUUUUUUUUUUUUUACAAUUUUUAUCUAUUUUUUUUUGCUUAUAUAUAUGUUUUGUUAUCUUCUUUUUUCCCUUUUCCCUUCUUUCUCUUUUUAUAUUCUUUUUCUUGUUUUCCUUUAUUUCUUGUUUUUAUUUGUUAUCUACUUUUUUCCUAUUGUUUUUGUUUUUGUUCUUCUUUUCUUCAAUUUUUUGAUUUUAAUUUCAUUUUGUUUUUGUUUUUUUUUCUUAAUUUUUUCUGUUUUGUUUUCUAUUUUAAACUAUUUUAACAGUUUUUUCAUUUUUUUCCUAAUUUUUUAUCUAAUUUUUAUGUUUAUAAAUAUUUUUUUAUUUUACGAAUUUUUUCAUAAAAAAUCAAAAAAAAAUUUUGUUAUCUGCUUCUUUUACAAUUUUUCUUUUUAAAAAUUUUUUUUCUAGUUUUUAUGUGGUUUGUUUAGAGAAUAUAUAUAUAUAUAAUAUAUAGAUAUAGAUAUUAUAUAUAUAUAUAUAUAUAUAUAUAUAUACUGAUAAUAUCUUCUCUUUUUAUUUUUAUUUUUUAUUUUUAUCUUCUUUUUCCUCUUUAUUUUUCUUAUUUAUUUAUUUUGCUUUUCUUUUGUUUUUCCUCUAUUUUUUUCUACAGUUUUUUUCUCAUAUUUUUCAUUUUUUCUAUUUUAAUUUUUUAACUUUUUUACUUUUUACUUUUUUGGUUUUUAAUUUAUCUUUUUUUUUUUACUUUUUUAUGUAAUUUUUGUUUAUCUUCUUUUUUUUUCCUAUUUUUUUUCUUAAUUCCUUUUUUCUUUUUUUUCUUUUUUCUAUUCCUAUUUUCUUUUUUCUUUAGUGUUUUUUCAAUUUUUUUCUAAUUUUUUGUUUUUUUCAUGUUUUAAAUUUUUGUUAUUUUCUUUCUUUUACUGUUUCUUUUUUUUAAUCUAUUUUAUCUAUUUUUUAUUUUAUUUUUUUUAUAUAUAUGUUUAUAUCUUCUCUUGUUUUUAUAUUUUAUUUUUAUUUCUAUUUUAUCUUCUUUUUUUGUAUUUUUAUUUAUUUAUUUAUUUUGCUUUUAUUUUAUUUUUCUUUUUUUAUCUACAUUGUUUUUUUUUUUUUUUAUAUCUAUUUUUACUGAAAUUUAUCUUCUCUUUUUUUUCCUUUUUUUCCUUUAUACCUUUUUUUCUUUUCUGAUUUUUCUUUUUUUUUUGGUUUUUUCUUAUUUUAUCUACUUUAUCUACUUUUUCUAUUUAUAUGUAAAUAUUUUGUUUUUUUGUUAUUUUCCUUUUUUCUAAUUUUAUCUACAUUUGUUUUCUUUCAUUUCAUUUUUAUUUUCUUUUUUUCAUGUUUUAAAUUUUUGUUAUUUUCUUUCUUUUACGGUUUCUUUUUUUUUUCUUUUUAUAUAUAUGUUGAUAUCCUCUCUUUUUUUAUUUUUAUUUUUAUUUUUCUAUUUUAUCUUUUUUUGUUAUUUAUUUUGCUUCUCUUUUUUUUUUAUCUACAUUUUUUUUUUGUAAUGUUGUUUACUCGCGUCAUUUGUUAUUUUUUUUUCUAUUUGUAUGUGUUAUCUUCUUUUUUCUUCCUCAUUUAUUCCUUUCUUCCUUUUUUUAUUUUUAAUUCUUAGUUAUUCUUAUUUUGUCGAUUCUCUUAUUUUAUCACUUUUUGUGCUUUUUUUUUUUUUUAUAUAAUAUGUUGUUAUUUUUUAUAUUUUAUAUCUAUUUUUCUCUUUUAUUUUUUUUUUUAUCCUGUUUUUAAUUUCUUUCCCUAUUUUCAUGUUUAUUUUUUUUGGGUUAUAUAUAUUAUAUAUACUUAUAAUAUUUGUUAUGUAUAUAGUAUAUGUAUAAUAUUUGAUUAUCUUUUUCUUUUUUAGUAUUUUGGUCUUCUUUUUUUUUUGUAUUUUCUUGUUUGUUAUUUAUUUAUUUUUAUCAUAUUUUUUUGUUUUUUCUUUAUCUUUCUUUAUAUUUGUUUUCAUAUUUUUUUAAUUUUUUUGUUUCAUUUUUUAACUGUUUUUACUUUUUUUCCUUUUUUGUUUUUAAUUUUUUAUCUGUUUUUUUUUCUUGAUUCUUUCCUUUUUUCUUUUUUUUUCUUUUCUUAAUUUUUUUUAAUUUUUUCUUGUUUUAUCUACUUUUUUGUUUUUUAUUUUUUAUUUUUUUAUAUAAAUAUUUUGUUUUUUUUUCUUUUUUCUUUUUAUCUAGAUUUUUUUCCUUUCAUUUUUCAUUUUUUUCGUGUUUUUUAAUUUUUUUUCUAUUUUUGUUUUUUUAAUGUUUUAAAAUUUUGUUAUCUUCUUUCUUUUUCUGUUUUUUAAUUUUUUUAUAUAAAUAUUUUGAUAUCUUCUCUCUUUUUGUAUUUUUUAUUUUAUCUUCCUUUUUUGUAUUUUUAUUUAUUUAUGUAUUUUGCUUUUCUUUUGGUUGUUUUCCUCUUUUUAUCUAUAUAUUUUUUUUUGCCUUUUUCUUUUUUUAAUUUUUUAAUUAUUUUUAUUUUUUUCCUCUUUGUUAUCUAUUUUUUCUAUUUGUAUUGUUAUUUUCUCUUUUUUUCUGUUUUUUUCCUUUAUUCCUUUUUUUAUUUUUAUUUUUAUUUUUUUCUUUGUUUGCAGUUUUUUUUGCUAUUUUUUUCUAACUUUUUUUUCUGUUUUAUUCUGUUUUCUUCUAUUUAUAUAUAAUAUUUGUUAUCUUUUUUUUUUUAUCCUUUGUUCUCAUUUUUGUCCUUUCAUUUUUCAUUUUUUUUUAAAAAAAUAAUCCUAUUUUCUGUUUUUUUUAUGUUUUAAAUUUUUUGAACUGUUUUUUUUUUUUUUUACAGUUUUUAUCUAUUUUUUUGUUUAUAUAUAUAUAUUUGAUAUCUUCUUUUUUUCCUUUCCCUUCUCCUCUUUGAUAUUUCUUUUUUCUUGUUUUCCUUUAUUCCUUGUUUUUAUUUGUUAUCUACUUUUUUCCUAUUGUUUUUGUUUUUGUUCUUCUUUUCUUCAAUUUUUUGUUUUUAAUUUCAUUUUUCUUUUUGUUUUUCUUUUUUUUCUUAAUUUUUUCUGUUUUGUUUUCUAUUUUAAAUUAUUUUAACAGUUUUUUCAUUUUUUCCCUACUUUUUAUCUACUUUUUAUGUUUAUAAAUAUUUUUUUUAUUUUUUACCGAAUUUUUUUAUAAAAAAUCAAUUUUUUUUUUCUAUUUUUCCUUUUUUGCUUCUUUUUUUUUUCUUGCUUAAUUUCCUGUUUUUAUUGUUUUUAUUGUUUUGAUUUUCGGGUUUUCUUUUUUAUGAUUGUUCAUUUUUUUCGUUGUUUCCUAAUUUGGUUGUUUGAAUCUUUUAAUGAACAUUCCCUUAUUUUUUUCUCU
rnacentral:lncRNA from 1 species